GUGGAAAGGUCAAGGAGAAUUAGGAUAGAGUAGUGACCAUGAGAUUUUGCAACAAGUAGAUCGUUAGAUACUUUAGUCAGAGCCAGAGUGCUGAGCGCGGAAACCAGACUGAAGUGGGUCGAGUAGAGAAUUGGACUCGAGGAGGUCUGUCAAUCUCACAUACACAAGUCUUUCAAGGAUCUUGGAAGGCAGUAGCGACAUAUGGCGUUAGUUGGACAGGG